AUGCACGCUGGCGGCGUGCUUAACACAUGCAAGUCGAACGAUGAAGCCCAGCUUGCUGGGUGGAUUAGUGGCGAACGGGUGAGUAACACGUGAGUAACCUGCCCUUAACUCUGGGAUAAGCCUGGGAAACUGGGUCUAAUACCGGAUAGGAGCGUCCACCGCAUGGUGGGUGUUGGAAAGAUUUAUCGGUUUUGGAUGGACUCGCGGCCUAUCAGCUUGUUGGUGAGGUAAUGGCUCACCAAGGCGACGACGGGUAGCCGGCCUGAGAGGGUGACCGGCCACACUGGGACUGAGACACGGCCCAGACUCCUACGGGAGGCAGCAGUGGGGAAUAUUGCACAAUGGGCGCAAGCCUGAUGCAGCGACGCCGCGUGAGGGAUGACGGCCUUCGGGUGGUAAACCUCUUUCAGUAGGGAAGAAGCGAAAGUGACGGUACCUGCAGAAGAAGCACCGGCUAACUACGU
rnacentral:rRNA from 1 species